UUACCCUGCUUCCUGUCUCCAGCCUUCCUUUUGCCCCAGUUUCUUCACUCAGAUGCAAAUGGAACCUCCUUGAAAGGUGGUCUCACCUCUGUUCUUUUCUACCUGUGGUUUCUCUUCUGACUGACUUGAACUCGCUUAGUUGGGUUUCGAUCCCUCUCUCAAGAGACCUAAGCUAACUGUGCCCACGUCAGAGGGUUGCUCUGUUGCUUCAUUAAUAAUACAAAAGAAUGGACACUAACCUGUAUUCACCAUUUUGCAUGUUCUCUGAAACAUGGUAGGUGCUCACAGGAGACCAGCCAGCCUCAUCUUCCCCUUCAGCCUUCUCCCCAUCAUUGUUUUAAUCGACUCCAUCAUCUACCCAGCAGGAAUCAUUGGGUCUAGGCAAAAUUUUCUUCUUUUGUUUUUGCAUGUGUCAUGAUCAAUUUUCUCCCCUAUUCCUUAGUUUUGGUUUUUUAUUUGUUCAUUCAGUCAUUUAUUUAUUUAGCAUCACUUAUUGAUGCCUAGAAUAUACGAAGAUUCACAAAAGUCCAGGAUAUCCUCUAUUAUUUUUGAAUAUUUUUCUUUUUCCACCUUCUCUUUCACGUCUAUAGUCUCCUUUCAUGCUCAUAUCAUACUUACGUGAAAGGAUAUAGCAGUAAAACUGCUCAGAGAGGUGAACUAAAUUGGCCAAGAUUACCCGGAAGUUUAGUGGCUGUUAUGGACUAAAUUGUACGUGCUGCCUCUAACCCAGCCUGAAUUCAUUUGUUGCAGCCCUAACCCCUGUGUAACUAGACUUGGAGAUGGGGCCUUUAAGGAGGCAAUUAUAUUACUGCUGUCAUAUAAUUACGCUGGUGUCCUUACAGGAGGAGGAAGAGACACCAGAGAGCUCUCUCCCACCAUGUGCGCACAGAGGAAAGGCCGUGAGAGGACACAGGCAGAAGGUUCCUGUCUGCAAGCUGGGAAGAGAGCUCCCACCAGAAACCAAAUAUGCUGGCACCUUGAUCCUGGACUUCUACCUCCAGAACUGCCCUCUUUCCGGCUGGGCUUCUCCCAUCGUGAUGGACAGGUUCCCAGAGGAGCAUCCCGCGAGCAAGUGUUCAGAGAAGACAAGUCCCACGUCCAAGCCUGGACUGCCCAACACAGGAGCUACUAGCCACAUGUGGCUAUAGAGCACUGGAAAUGUUUAAGUCUGGAUCCAGACAUGCUUUAAGUGCAAGAUAUACAGCAGAAUUUGAAAACUGUCUAAAAAAUAAAAGGGAUCCACACCACUUGUGUUUUGGUUGUCACACUGUGGCGGCUGAGAGUUGCUGGGAUACUGAAGUUAAGCCAUUGGAAUUUCAAACGCCAGCAGGGUCACCCGUGGGGGACAGGUUUCAGCGGAGCUUCCAGACUAAGACAGAAGAGGACGAAGGACCUGGCUACCCACUCCCGAAAAACUUGGCUAUGAAAACCCUGUGAGCAGCAGCAGAGCGCUGUCUGAUACAGUGCCAGAAGGUGAGAGGAUGGCGCAAAAGACCAGGCAGGGCUCCGCUCCGCUGUCCACAGGGGCACUAGGAGUCAGAAUCCACUCAACAGCACUAACAACAGCAACAGUUUGGUUAAGACAGAGGGAAAAGCACACCAGAAAGAAGGAACAGCAUGUGCAAAAGCUGAGAGGAAGCAAGGUGAAUUCAAAGGAUUGAAAGGUGCCCAGUGUGCUCGCAGUGGGCAGGGAAGGGGGCGUAAGUGGGAGAUAUGAUCUGAGGCUUUAACGGUGUGUCAGUUUGGGAUGAGGAGGAUCACGGAAACUUCCAUCUGUGUCUUGGAGGGCUUGCCAAGUGGACUGACGUGUCUUCAUUCACUGUGUUGUUUUUCAUGCCUACCACCCUGUGUCAGAACUUCUCAAGAAGGAUUCGGGUCGAGUGGGUACCACCUCCAUGUCUCAGAAGUCAUCAUCAGCCCAGUCUCUUCUCCUUAACCCCCCAUCCUCCGUAGCACCAGAACUUCGUAGUAAGUGGGUACAAAAAGAAUUUGUUUCUCGACUACCACGGCUCUACCCUAACCUCCUCCUUACACAUUUUCUGGGGCCACCCCCGAUGCUCCCAUGAGGACUACCUCCCAUGUCCUCUGAUAACACCCGGUCUGACAGCAGCAGUCCCACUGGACAUCUGCCAUUUUUUCUCUCUCUGGCUCCACUUUCCAGAAACCUUACCUGUCAGGCUGCUUGCAGGUGUCCUGGAGUGGCUUCUGCUGAUGAUGCCCAGGGAGGCUCCACUCCUGUGUGUGCCCAGGGUCUCAACCUCAGGGAGUGACAAUCCCGUCCUCCCAAAUCCUCAGGCAAGGAAAAGUGGGAGUCAGCGAAGACUCACUCCUGAAUUCCCGCAAUUCUUGGUCAUUUUCUUCCUUGCCCUUUCUUCUGCCUGGGAUGCUCUUUCCUCAGACGUUUGUGGCUCCUUUCCUUACUUCCUUCAGGUCUCGUCUCAAACAUACUCAGAAAGGGCUUCUGGGCCGCUCUAGAAUAAAAACACCCCUCACGGUUUAUCUUCCUUACCCUAACUUCUUCACAUUUUUCUUUUUACCUGUUUUAGCAUGUUCCUGGAAAGCUAAUGUCCCUUGAUGCUGCUGAAGUCAUAACUCACUUAUCCUCCAUUCAUUCAUUGCACAAAUGCUUUAGAGCACCUACUAUGUGACAGGGACCACGCUAUGUUAUAGAGAUAAAGAGAAGAACGAAGGAAAGACUUCUGCCCUCUUUCUAGUGAGAGACACUAGUACCAAAGACAUUAACGAACACAUUCAAUCGUUCACGAUGGCAGCAGGGGGACCCGCUGGGGCCACCUUAACUGGAGGGUCACAGAAGGCUUUUGUGAGGAAAGGGUCCGCAAGAACCAGUGGUGCCAGCCUCUACUCUGUCACCUUUGAGCUCUCACCCCUCUCGUGAUGUGGGCUCUGAUCCAGGGCCAGGGGCUGGGCAGGGAGCAGAUGCUGUCAUCCCCCCAAUGGGUCUAUCUUCCUCCCUUUUCUACUUUCACCUUCCACCAGUUCCAAGGCAAAGCUUCCAAGCAUGAAUAUUGCUGGGACAAAUAGAGGAUCCAGGUGGGUGGCUGAGAAGAUGGCCCCUCCCCAUUAACAGAGUGGCGGCUCUGGGGUAGCCUCGUGCCGUAACGUCUUGGAACAUUUCACCCCACCUGGGGACUGCUUUCUUACACCUAAUUUUGCAGCCCCUUUAAUCUCUGGAAACUCAAAGUUCUUCAAGGUAUAAAACAAUGACCUUUCAAAAUGUAAAUCUGAUCCUACCACCCGCCUCCUCUAGCUGAAAACCUUACAGUGGCUUCUCGCUGCUCUGAGGUAGAAGCCACUUCUGUCCGCGGCUUGAGGACCUUGUGUGGUCUGGCUCCAGCCUUUCCAGCCCCACCUGCCGUUACCACCCCCUCAUGUCCACUGCGGUUACACUGGACACCUUCAAUCCUUUGGAUUCCCCCUAUUCCCUUCCAGCUUUUGCACACGCUGUUCCUUUCUUACAGAAUGCUUUUCCAUCCAUUUUAACCACAGUAACUCAUCCUUAAUAUUUAACUCAAACUUACUUCCUUAAGGAAGACUCUCAUGAUCCUUUUAUAGCAUGUGGUGUGGUUGCAAUCUGAUAUCGAUCUCUCUGACACCUGAUUCUUGUUGUCUGCCAUGUUGGAGAGCAAGUCCUAUGAGGUCAGGAACUGUGACCACUUCUUCUGACCACGGUUAUACCCAGCCUUGACACAGGGUCUGCAGGAUAGUAUGUACUUGUUAACGUUUGUUGAAUGAGUGAACGAUUGAAUGAGUGAAUAAAGAUCUCUUUCUUUGUACUGCCCUUCAGGCGUAAACAACAUCAAUAACAGUUGCUGGAGAAAAAGGCCGUCCCGGUCCAGGCACACAGUCCACUGCGUUAGAACAUAGUGGGUCAUCCUUGCUAAGAGGCAAGUCCGUUCCUCUUGCAAGUUGCUGAUUUGUCAGUUUCACUAGAGAGAGUCCUACCUUGGAGACAGUGAUGUUCACGUUGGGGUCAGUUGGGGGCGUGGUCUAGGGAAGAACACUCAGCGUGAGCUGACCUAUACUUCUGCAUCACAGUUUUCUGUACGAAUGUUCGUGGGUGCCAAUAUACAUAUAGAGAAGACUUCUACAUUUAUUUUCCCACCUUUUCUUUUCAGCUGUUUCUUCCUCCUCAACCCAAGUUACAGUUUUUUCCAAAUGUUGUUGGUAUAAACGGAAUAAAAUCGGUCAGGAUCAUAAAUCAGAUUCAAGAGGAGUGAGCGGCAUGGGUUCCUGGGAUGACUGCCCCUCUCCCCUCCUCUAUAAUUUAUUGUUUUUCUUCCAGAGGAAGCCAAAUGAUAUUUCUCUAAUUAACAGACAUGGGCAACUAUCGUAUAAAUCAACAUCACAGCCUUUUUAGUGAUGCAAUCACUGUAUGAUCGGGGAUAUAAAUUAAACAUCACAAAUGCAUCUCAAGCAGCAAAACAUAAUGGAAUAAGAGAGAGGGGCUGUCUGGCUCUGGGGACUGUAGCAUCAAGAGGGUAUCUUCACUCCAGGAGCUGCUGAUUUCAUGCCACCGUAACCUGGGAGGUCUAUCCUGCCCGUGGAAGUGACGCGGUACAUUCAUCUCUCUUGUCUGUUGCCUGUAGGUGUGAUCCGGUGUAUGUACACUGGAGAGCCCAGGAUCUGGGUGGAAACAUCAUCUUUGGUACUUAGUCCCUGCGUGACAUUUGGGAAGUCACUUGCUUCCAUGAGCUCUAUUUUAUCAUCUGUAAACUGGAGAUAAUCGUAGUACUUACUUCAUAAUUGUGGGCAGUAAUGCAUGAAUGCAUGCGAGGCACUUAGGCUAGUUCUGACAUGUGAAGGGAAGUUUAAUUCAUUUAAACUCUUGUGAUUGUGAUUAUCAGUAUUAUUAUCCCCAGCCUCUCUCCAUUUUAGUAUGCAUAAUCUCUUAAAAUGCUGAUUUCUGGGCCACGAACCCCACAGUCUGACUCCACAAUAUGAGGUAGAGCCUAGGACUCCGCAUUUUCACAACCUUAGUGAUAAUUCUGAUGUUGGCAGUCUGUGACUCACAAUUGGAAAACGCCGCUCUAUGGCAUGCAUGGAAAACUGAGGCACUGCCGAAUCCAUAGCUCAGUCUAAAUUCUACUAGCUAGGAACAUGACAGGGCCACAAACACCCAGGGAACCGAUUUAAACUUAUUUUUAUAUUGCCUUCUGGAAAGUGGACUCUGGGUGGGCUUUGAUGGGGACACCAUCCUUUCCCCACCCCCUUAACGCAGAGCUAAAUUCCUGUAGGUAUGGAUGGUGGCUGGGAGAUGAGGCCCCCUCUGGAGAUAAGGGUGGGGGACAUGAGCAACAGUGAAUCCUUUCUACGCACACAGCUUGGAUCUGCUCCCUUCCUCCCUUCCCCUUUUUUCCUUCCCCAAAUUUGGUAAUUAUUUUAAUAGUUCCUCCCAACCUGAAACUCGGGGAGGGGAUAAUAUGUUACAGUUCAUAAAACGUUUAUCUAUUCAUGAUCUCUUGUAAAAUUCCUGAUCUCGUGAGACCAGCAGGAAAGAGAGAUUAUUAUCUCCGUUUAACAGAUGAGAAAACUGAGGUUCAGAAAUAAAAGGGUUUUCCUGAGGUCACACAGUUCUUAAGGGAUAAGUGAGUCUUGGUUCCAGGAUUUUUAAUCCUGAAUCUACAAGAAUUUCUCACUGUGACAUAGGGCCUUUGGUCUUUUCUCUUGCUUAAAAACAAUCAUUGCAGCCUGCGUGCAAUCAUGUAUAGAAAAUCGUUAUAUUUUGAGAUGGAGCACAGGUGUGUCUGUGUCAGUGUCUCUACCUGUGUGUGUGUUGGGGGUGGUGGUGUAGAGCCACCUGUUAUAGCUCCUUGUCCCCCUGCCCCUCCAACUCUGGGUCCCCUCAGUACUAUCCCAGCCACCCCCAACCUCUGGGUCCCAGUUAUGUUUUCCAUUUUCUAACGAAAGAAACACUGUGUUGAGACUCUCUUCCUGACACUUGAAGCAUGUUCAGUAGCCAUUCUCUCUAGAAGUCAGGGGGAAUUUUGUAGAACAUGGAGCUCACGACAUUUGGAAAGUUGAAAGGAUGAUGUGUUUGAGGCCACAUGGGGCAUUUCCUUCUCCCCUCUGUCCCUUCUCCCAUUCGGUCGUCUAGGCAUUGUGUGAUCACUGCUCAAGGAAGGCUGAUCCAACCACAAUGGGGAGAGAAAGGAGGAGUCCUGGGUUGGCUCCUGCAUUUCCAAAGCCCAAUGCACAGUGAGGGGAAGAUGCGUGAGCACAAACUGAGCGUGGAUCUGGGGAAAGCCUAAUAAGCGAGGAAUAAAAGACAGCUCUGGACUUCGGGAAAGGAAAGGAUGGCAAGGAGGUAGAAGGAGAGAAGUGGGUGGGCUUGUGAGGCGGGCUCUGAAUGGAAGGAGCAUGUGGGGCAGAGCAGAGCCAGCAUCCAAAGGCUCUUCAGCCUCUGUGAAAGCAUCCUCUCAAGAAGAACUUGUCCAUGGUUUACACUUGCGAGGUGAAAGAAGGCCUCUUUUGUAUCAGCAGAGCACCCAGCCGCUGCUCAGUUUAGUGUAACAUACAGCCUGUCCUGGGGAACACAGCAGCUGCCCUCCCCGUCGGACAAGUCCCUUUGACCCAGCCAGCAUGCUGUGGGUUGACUGGCCCCAAGACUGAUCACUGUCCUCCUCCAACCUACCUCAGGGGGCCUACCCCCAUUUCAAUAACUUGGGACACUUGUAUACGUCUGAGGCCAACGGUGUGCUCAUUGGGCACCCAGAGGGUGUGGUUGGGGGUUUCUUUUUUGAGUUUUAUUUAGAACACUUUAUUUUGUUAGAGCAGUUUUAGGGUCACAGCAAAACUAAGAAGAAAGUGCAGAGAUUUCCCAUAUACUCCCUACCCUGCCACGUGCAUAGCUUUCCCAUUAUCCACACCCCCCCACCAGCGUGGGACAUUUGUCACAAUUGAUGAACCUACACUGACACAUCAUUAUCAACGAGAGUCCAUAGUUUGUAUUAGGGUUUACUCUUGGUCUUAUAUAUUCUACAGGUUUGGACAAAUGCAUAAUAACGUGUAUCCAUCACUAUAGUAUCAUAUAGAAUAGUUUCACUGUCCUGAAAAUCCUUUGUGCUCUGUCCCCUACCCUUGGCAGCAACUAAUCUUUUUACUGUCUCCAUAGUUUUACCUUUUCCAGAAUGUCAUAUAGUUAGAAUCAUACCGUAU